GAUUCUAGUGCAGAGUUCUCUUCUAAUUAAAAAUGUAUUUACAUCAAGCUACAUUUGUACCUGCACACAGAUUACCCAGAGAUGGAAGAAUCCUGGAUGGCUGCUCUUCCAUGAGGACUGCAGAACAGUAGCUACUAGGUGGAUAUUUGACAAUUUCAAUGCAUUUCUCAAGAAGAAAACAAACAAAGGAUGUUUGAGUGAUAAGAGCUUCAACGAAAAACAGGAAGACUCUAUCUGCAACUGGAAAACGUAAUUGGAGUUGACAUGCAAGAAACUGUGG